rnacentral:rRNA from 1 species
AACGAACGCUGGCGACAUGCCUAACACAUGCAAGUCGAACGAGACCUUCGGGUCUAGUGGCGCACGGGUGCGUAACGCGUGGGAAUCUGCCCUUGGGUGCGGAAUAACAGUUAGAAAUGACUGCUAAUACCGCAUAAUGACUCCGGUCCAAAGAUUUAUCGCCCAGGGAUGAGCCCGCGUCGGAUUAGCUAGUUGGUAGGGUAAAAGCCUACCAAGGCAACGAUCCGUAGCUGGUCUGAGAGGAUGAUCAGCCACACUGGGACUGAGACACGGCCCAGACUCCUACGGGAGGCAGCAGUGGGGAAUAUUGGACAAUGGGCGAAAGCCUGAUCCAGCAAUGCCGCGUGAGUGAUGAAGGCCUUAGGGUUGUAAAGCUCUUUUACCCGGGAUGAUAAUGACAGUACCGGGAGAAGAAGCCCCGGCUAACUUCGUGCCAGCAGCCGCAGUAAGAC